rnacentral:rRNA from 1 species
UACGUAGGGUGCAAGCGUUGUCCGGAAUUAUUGGGCGUAAAGAGCUCGUAGGCGGCUUGUCGCGUCGGAUGUGAAAGCCCGGGGCUUAACUCCGGGUCUGCAUUCGAUACGGGCAGGCUAGAGUUCGGUAGGGGAGAUCGGAAUUCCUGGUGUAGCGGUGAAAUGCGCAGAUAUCAGGAGGAACACCGGUGGCGAAGGCGGAUCUCUGGGCCGAUACUGACGCUGAGGAGCGAAAGCGUGGGGAGCAAACAGG